rnacentral:rRNA from 1 species
UACGUAGGAGGCGAGCGUUGUCCGGAAUCACUGGGUGUAAAGCGCGUGUAGGCGGCCUGCCAAGUCUGCUGUGAAAGCGCCUGGCUUAACCGGGCGAGGUCGGUGGAAACUGGCGGGCUGGAGGACGGUAGAGGGGGGUGGAAUUCCCGGUGUAGUGGUGAAAUGCGUAGAGAUCGGGAGGAACACCAGUGGCGAAGGCGGCCCCCUGGGCCGUUCCUGACGCUGAGACGCGAAGGCGCGGGGAGCGAACAGG